UACGUAGGGUGCAAGCGUUGUCCGGAAUUAUUGGGCGUAAAGAGCUCGUAGGCGGUUUGUUGCGUCGGCUGUGAAAUCCCGAGGCUCAACCUCGGGUCUGCAGUCGAUACGAGCAAACUAGAGUGUUGCAGGGGAGACUGGAAUUCCUGGUGUAGCGGUGAAAUGACGCAGAUAUCAGGAGGAACACCGGUGGCGAAGGCGGCUCUCUGGGACGGUACUGACGCUGAGACGCGAAAGCGUGGGGAGCGAACAGG
rnacentral:rRNA from 1 species